rnacentral:rRNA from 1 species
UACGUAGGGGGCUGGCGUUGUCCGGAUUUACUGGGCGUAAAGAGCGCGCAGGCGGUCGUCCAAGUCGCGUGUGAAAGCCCCCCGGCUCAACUGGGGAGGGUCACGCGAUACUGGUCGACUCGAAGGCAGGAGAGGGUAGUGGAAUUCCCGGUGUAGUGGUGAAAUGCGUAGAUAUCAGGAGGAACACCAGUGGCGAAGGCGACUACCUGGCCUGUUCUUGACGCUGAGGCGCGAAAGCUAGGGGAGCAAACGGG